rnacentral:rRNA from 1 species
UAUACUGCAAGUCGAACGCUUCUUUUACACCGGAGCUUGCUCCACCGGAAAAAGAGGAGUGGCGAACGGGUGAGUAACACGUGGGUAACCUGCCCAUCAGAAGGGGAUAACACUUGGAAACAGGUGCUAAUACCGUAUAACAAUCGAAACCGCAUGGUUUUGAUUUGAAAGGCGCUUUCGGGUGUCGCUGAUGGAUGGACCCGCGGUGCAUUAGCUAGUUGGUGAGGUAACGGCUCACCAAGGCGACGAUGCAUAGCCGACCUGAGAGGGUGAUCGGCCACAUUGGGACUGAGACACGGCCCAAACUCCUACGGGAGGCAGCAGUAGGGAAUCUUCGGCAAUGGACGAAAGUCUGACCGAGCAACGCCGCGUGAGUGAAGAAGGUUUUCGGAUCGUAAAACUCUGUUGUUAGAGAAGAACAAGGAUGAGAGUAACUGUUCAUCCCUUGACGGUAUCUAACCAGAAAGCCACGGCUAACUACGUGCCAGCAGCCGCGGUAAUACGUAGGUGGCAAGCGUUGUCCGGAUUUAUUGGGCGUAAAGCGAGCGCAGGCGGUUUCUUAAGUCUGAUGUGAAAGCCCCCGGCUCAACCGGGGAGGGUCAUUGGAAACUGGGAGACUUGAGUGCAGAAGAGGAGAGUGGAAUUCCAUGUGUAGCGGUGAAAUGCGUAGAUAUAUGGAGGAACACCAGUGGCGAAGGCGGCUCUCUGGUCUGUAACUGACGCUGAGGCUCGAAAGCGUGGGGAGCAAACAGGAUUAGAUACCCUGGUAGUCCACGCCGUAAACGAUGAGUGCUAAGUGUUGGAGGGUUUCCGCCCUUCAGUGCUGCAGCUAACGCAUUAAGCACUCCGCCUGGGGAGUACGACCGCAAGGUUGAAACUCACAGGAAUUGACGGUGGCCCGCACAAGCGGUGGAGCAUGUGGUUUAAUUCGAAGCAACGCGAAGAACCUUACCAGGUCUUGACAUCCUUUGACCACUCUAGAGAUAGAGCUUCCCCUUCGGGGGCAAAGUGACAGGUGGUGCAUGGUUGUCGUCAGCUCGUGUCGUGAGAUGUUGGGUUAGUCCCGCACGAGCGCACCCUUAUUGUUACUUGCCAUCAUUUAGUUGGGCACUCUAGCAAGACUGCCGGUGACAAACCGGAGGAAGGUGGGGAUGACGUCAAAUCAUCAUGCCCCUUAUGACCUGGGCUACACACGUGCUACAAUGGGAAGUACAACGAGUCGCAAAGUCGCGAGGCUAAGCUAAUCUCUUAAAGCUUCUCUCAGUUCGGAUUGUAGGCUGCAACUCGCCUACAUGAAGCCGGAAUCGCUAGUAAUCGCGGAUCAGCACGCCGCGGUGAAUACGUUCCCGGGCCUUGUACACACCGCCCGUCACACCACGAGAGUUUGUAACACCCGAAGUCGUAGAGGUAACCUUUGGAGCCAGCCGCCCUAUUGGA